UACGUAGGGUGCGAGCGUUAAUCGGAAUUACUGGGCGUAAAGGGUGCGCAGGCGGUUAUAUAAGGCAGAUGUGAAAUCCCCGGGCUCAACCUGGGAACUGCGUUUGUGACUGUAUGACUAGAGUACGGUAGAGAGGGGUGGAAUUCCUGGUGUAGCAGUGAAAUGCGUAGAUAUCAGGAGGAAUACCGGUGGCGAAGGCGGCAUCCUGGACCGAUAUUGACACUGAUGAGCGAAAGCCAGGGGAGCAAACGGG
rnacentral:rRNA from 1 species